UACAGAGGUCCCAAGCGUUGUUCGGAUUCAUUGGGCGUAAAGGGUGCGUAGGCGGCGCGGUAAGUCGGGUGUGAAACCUCGGGGCUUAACUCCGAAACUGCAUUCGAUACUGUCGUGCUUGAGGACUGGAGAGGAGACUGGAAUUUACGGUGUAGCGGUGAAAUGCGUAGAUAUCGUAAGGAAGACCAGUGGCGAAGGCGGGUCUCUGGACAGUUCCUGACACUGAGGCACGAAGGCCAGGGGAGCGAACGGA
rnacentral:rRNA from 1 species